rnacentral:rRNA from 1 species
GACGAACGCUGGCGGCGUGCUUAACACAUGCAAGUCGAACGGAAAGGCCCUUCGGGGUACUCGAGUGGCGAACGGGUGAGUAACACGUGGGUGAUCUGCCCUGCACUUUGGGAUAAGCCUGGGAAACUGGGUCUAAUACCGAAUAGGACCACGCGCUUCAUGGUGUGUGGUGGAAAGCUUUUGCGGUGUGGGAUGGGCCCGCGGCCUAUCAGCUUGUUGGUGGGGUAAUGGCCUACCAAGGCGACGACGGGUAGCCGGCCUGAGAGGGUGACCGGCCACACUGGGACUGAGAUACGGCCCAGACUCCUACGGGAGGCAGCAGUGGGGAAUAUUGCACAAUGGGCGCAAGCCUGAUGCAGCGACGCCGCGUGAGGGAUGACGGCCUUCGGGUUGUAAACCUCUUUCACCAGGGACGAAGCGUAAGUGACGGUACCUGGAGAAGAAGUACCGGCCAACUACGUG